rnacentral:misc_RNA from 1 species
UGAGACUUGAAUUGAACUAGAAACUUCUAAAUUGGUUUUGGGUCAAAUGAAAAUUUUUUAAUUUAAGAACUAAAAAUUGAAUCAUUGAAUUAAAAUCAUAUUAAAUUAAAUUGAAUUAAAAUUUGAAUCAAAAUUAAAACUAAAAUGGUAAAAGAGUUUAAGGACUAGUUCAGAUUCACCCUUUUAAUAAACUGAAUAGAUGGUCAGACGAAUAUGGCAACCAAAUUCGCCCAACCGACGACUAUGGCAAUCCAAUCCAUCAAACAGGUGCCACUGGCACUGGGACAUAUGG